UACGGAGGGGGCUAGCGUUGUUCGGAAUUACUGGGCGUAAAGCGCACGUAGGCGGAUAUUUAAGUCAGGGGUGAAAUCCCGGGGCUCAACCCCGGAACUGCCUUUGAUACUGGGUAUCUGGAGGUCGAGAGAGGCGAGUGGAAUUCCGAGUGUAGAGGUGAAAUUCGUAGAUAUUCGGAGGAACACCAGUGGCGAAGGCGGCUCGCUGGCUCGAUACUGACGCUGAGGUGCGAAAGCGUGGGGAGCAAACGGG
rnacentral:rRNA from 1 species